rnacentral:rRNA from 1 species
GUGUCAGCCGCCGCGGUAAUACGGAGGGUGCAAGCGUUAUCCGGAUUCACUGGGUUUAAAGGGUGCGUAGGCGGGUUGGUAAGUCAGUGGUGAAAUCCCCGAGCUUAACUUGGGAACUGCCAUUGAUACUAUUAAUCUUGAAUACCGUGGAGGUCGACGGAAUAUGUCAUGUAGCGGUGAAAUGCUUAGAUAUGACAUAGAACACCAAUUGCGAAGGCAGUUGACUACGCGAGUAUUGACGCUGAGGCACGAAAGCGUGGGGAUCAAACAGGAUUAGAUACCCGUGUAGUCC